AUGAUUCUGGUUAUCCUUGAUGAUUAUUCUCAUUAUGUGUGGACUUUUCCUUUGCGCAGAAAGUCGGAUGCACUCUCCACUUUGACGGAUUUUUACUCCUAUGUCAGCACGCAGUUUGGGCGUCCCAUCCUUGCUCUUCAGACUGACAAUGGAAAAGAGUUCGACAACCUUGCUUUCCGCACUUUUCUGUCGCAUCACGGCACAUUUUUUCGUCUCACAUGCCCGUAUACUUCACAGCAGAACGGUCGAGCCAAACGCGUCCUUCGCACUCUGAACGACUGCGUUCGCACGCUCCUGUUUCAUGCUAACGUGCCGCCCCGUUUCUGGUCGGACGCACUCGCCACUGCAUCACUUCUCCUUAACAUUAGACCAUGCCGCCCACGGUGGAACUACGCACCUCACCAUCUUCUCUUUGGUACGCCCCCAUCUUAUGAUGGCUUGCGUUUUUUUGGGUGCCUUUGCUAUCCCAGCACUGCCGACACUGCUUCUCACAAGCUUGCACCUUGA
rnacentral:rRNA from 1 species